rnacentral:rRNA from 1 species
GGAUUAGAUACCCUGGUAGUCCACGCCGUAAACGAUGAGUACUUGAUGGUGGAGGAUUCGACCCUUUCACUAUCGGAGCUAACGCGUUAAGUACUCCGCCUGGGGACUACGGCCGCAAGGCUGAAACUCAAAGGAAUUGACGGGGACCCGCACAAGCGGUGGAACAUGUGGUUUAAUUCGAUGCAACGCGAAGAACCUUACCUGGACUUGACAUGUUAGUGAAAUCUCUGUGAAAGCAGAGCCUUCUGCGAGCUUGCUCAAAGACACUAUCACAGGUGAUGCAUGGCUGUCGUCAGCUCGUGCCG